rnacentral:rRNA from 1 species
AGCGAACGCUGGCGGCAGGCCUAACACAUGCAAGUCGAACGAAGCCUUCGGGCUUAGUGGCGGACGGGUGAGUAACACGUGGGAACGUACCUUUUGGUUCGGAACAACUCAGGGAAACUUGAGCUAAUACCGGAUGAGCCCUUAGGGGGAAAGAUUUAUCGCCGAAAGAGCGGCCCGCGUUAGAUUAGCUAGUUGGUGAGGUAAAGGCUCACCAAGGCUACGAUCUAUAGCUGGUCUGAGAGGAUGAUCAGCCACACUGGGACUGAGACACGGCCCAGACUCCUACGGGAGGCAGCAGUGGGGAAUCUUGCGCAAUGGGCGAAAGCCUGACGCAGCCAUGCCGCGUGAAUGAUGAAGGUCUUAGGAUUGUAAAAUUCUUUUACCAGGGACGAUAAUGACGGUACCUGGAGAAAAAGCCCCGGCUAACUUCGUGCCAGCAGCCGCCGCCGUAA